CGCUGAUGUGUUAUGGGAUUUUUCCGUAUUGGAGCCUUCACGUUUAUGGUGGCGACGAUGUUUGUGUCUAUGUCGAUGUUGUUUUGAGAUGAGUGUAUGGCCCCUGAUCCUCUUUAUAAUCACAACUGUACAGGAAGGUCAAAGAGAUAAACCAAUAAUAACCUUCUUUAUGUGUAACAACGUUGGAAAACCCUGGGAUUGACUUCACUCACAGAUAAUGACUGUAAGGGUGGAUAUAUCCACUGAAUGUACUACUGGGUCUACCCACUCUGACGGUAGCAGUACGUCAACUUUGACUCAAUCGAUUGAAAAACGAAGUCCUUCCCAUCAAUUGAAAAUAGCAGAUCAGCAGGCUUCAUGUGGAAAAACAUAACACUGGAUCUCCUGGUUGUAGUGAAGCAGUCUUUACAGGAUUUGAACACAUUUCACCUGUGACCUUGGACGUGAGUCAAGACACUCUAAAUGCUAGUGGGAGGAGACUGGGAGGACUUGUUGGAACAAGAGAACCUUGGUUGAUGUGG